rnacentral:snRNA from 1 species
GCUCUCUUUGGCGGCAUACACUGAAAUUAGAACAAUGCAAAGAUCAGCAUGGCCCUGCACAAGGGAAACAGGCAAAUUCGCGAAGCACUGCAUAUUGUU